CCUACGGUGUGCAGCAGUGGGGAAUAUUGCACAAUGGGGGAAACCCUGAUGCAGCGACGCCGCGUGAGUGAAGAAGUAUCUCGGUACGUAAAGCUCUAUCAGCAGGGAAGAAAAUGACGGUACCUGACUAAGAAGCCCCGGCUAACUACGUGCCAGCAGCCGCGGUAAUACGUAGGGGGCAAGCGUUAUCCGGAUUUACUGGGUGUAAAGGGAGCGUAGACGGCAGCGCAAGUCUGGAGUGAAAUGCCGGGGCCCAACCCCGGAACUGCUUUGGAAACUGUGCAGCUCGAGUGCAGGAGAGGUAAGCGGAAGUACUAGUGUAGCGGUGAAAUGCGUAGAUAUCAGGAGGAACACCGGUGGCGAAGGCGGCCUGCUGGACUGCAACUGACGUUGAGGCCCGAAAGCGUGGGGAGCAAACAGGAUUAGAUACCCCAGUAGUC
rnacentral:rRNA from 1 species